UCUAAACACAAAUUAAAAUCAUACAAAUUUCAUAUUACAAGUCAAUGGCCUCGAGGGCUUGAAUACAUAAGUUUUGCCUUAAGAAGGCUAGCACAAACAUAAUAUCGGAUCGAAAAGGCAAGGCGUUCUGUCUGGGAGCCUCCUAACUACUCGAUAGCCUUCAUGUAGUAGUAUGCUCCGUCGGGGUAGUCAAUUUUCUAAUAGAGUGAAGAACCGCUAGAAAAGAGGAACUCAUUAGCCUAAGUACAGCAACAAGGUAGAUCAUCUCUAAUACUUUAGUAUCCGGUUCAUGUGUGUCUUUCUGGUUAGCACAACCCAGGACAUUUAACACUAUUUUCUUCACAACAAUAACAGCGUCCUGCCUCGAUUGUUUAGGAAAGAUAUCCUGGUUCUCCUCGUUUCAUUGAGGAGAACGAGCAUAUCUUUCCUGAACAAUCGAAUCGAACAAUCGAGGCACGGCGUUGUUAUUGGUGUGAAGAAAAUAGUGUCAAAUAUCCUAGGUUGUGCUAACCAGAAGGACACACAUGAACCGGAUACUAAAGUAUCAGAGGAGAUGAUCUACCUUGCUGAUGGACUUAACAUAUGCCCAAGUAAGCUGAUGGUUUCAGAUAUGCGAAGUAAUAUAUAAUUUUCAUGGUGCGUUUCACCUGCAACCCUCAUUCUAAUAUAUGAUUUUCAUGGUGCGUGGCACCUGCAACCCUCAUUCUAAUAUAUGAUUUUUCAUGGUGCCUGUCACCUGCAACCCUCAUUUUCAGAGGUUGCAGUUGACAGUUCUGAGAACGAGGGUUGCAGGUAACAGGCACAAUGAAAAUUAUAUAUUACUUUACAUAUCUGAAACCAUCAGCUUACUUGGACAAUAUGAAGCUACUGGACUUAACAUAGAUGACUUAUUUGGUAUGACUGAGAAGUCCGUUGACAAGGAAAACGCAUCAGUGUUGAUGCUUUGACCAAGAGAGUGCACUAAAGAACUGGUCAAAUUCCGCAUCAUCUUGCACCGAUGAAAUGAAAUGGCGGGAUAUGAGCUCCAGGAUGAGACAGAGCUCGUACUCGCAUGAUUCUGGCAUGGUAGAGACCCUUGGUCCUUCCUGUAUGGCAUUCCUGAGCAUGGUGAAAUUCCUCACUUGGUUUAUAUCCACAAAAUUCUGAAAGGACAC
rnacentral:lncRNA from 1 species